GUUGGUGAACCAGCGGAGGGAUCAUUAUAGAGUUAUAACAACUCCCAACCCAUGUGAACGUACCAUAUGUUGCUUCGGCAGGUCGCGGCCCACCCUACCCGGGCGCCGCGGUUCAGCCUGCCGGUGGCCUACGAAACUCUGUUUAAUAUUGAAACUCUGAAUCAUAACUAAAUAAGUUAAAACUUUCAACAACGGAUCUCUUGGUUCUG
rnacentral:misc_RNA from 1 species